GACGUAGGGCGCGAGCGUUGUCCGGAUUUAUUGGGCGUAAAGAGCUCGUAGGCGGCUUGUCGCGUCAACUGUGAAAACCCGUGGCUCAACCAUGUGGUCUGCAGUCGAUACGGGCAGGCUAGAAUUCGGUAGGGGAGACUGGAAUUCCUGGUGUAGCGGUGAAAUGAGCAGAUAUCGGGAAGAACACCCGUGGCGAAGGCGGUUCUCUGGGACGGUACUGACGCUGAGACGCGAAAGCGUGGGGAGCGAACAGG
rnacentral:rRNA from 1 species